rnacentral:rRNA from 1 species
ACGCGGUAAAUUGAUGUCGACUUUGAGGUUGUUCCGUUGAGGAGUGGCUUCCGGAGCUAACGCGUUAAGUCGACCGCCUGGGGAGUACGGCCGCAAGGUUAAAACUCAAAUGAAUUGACGGGGGCCCGCACAAGCGGUGGAGCAUGUGGUUUAAUUCGAUGCAACGCGAAGAACCUUACCUACUCUUGACAUCCACGGAAUUUUGCAGAGAUGCAUUAGUGCCUUCGGGAACGGUGAGACAGGUGCUGCAUGGCUGUCGUCAGCUCGUGUUGUGAAAUGUUGGGUUAAGUCCCGCAACGAGCGCAACCCUUAUCCUUUGUUGCCAGCGAUUCGGUCGGGAACUCAAAGGAGACUGCCGGUGAUAAACCGGAGGAAGGUGGGGAUGACGUCAAGUCAUCAUGGCCCUUACGAGUAGGGCUACACACGUGCUACAAUGGCGCAUACAAAGAGAAGCGACCUCGCGAGAGCAAGCGGACCUCACAAAGUGCGUCGUAGUCCGGAUCGGAGUCUGCAACUCGACUCCGUGAAGUCGGAAUCGCUAGUAAUCGUGGAUCAGAAUGCCACGGUGAAUACGUUCCCGGGCCUUGUACACACCGCCCGUCACACCAUGGGAGUGGGUUGCAAAAGAAGUAGGUAGCUUAACCUUCGGGAGGGCGCUUACCACUUUGGAUCUUGCCUUCU